rnacentral:misc_RNA from 1 species
CGUCGAUCGAUCAGGGAUUUGCAGCAAUGUGUUGUGACCUCUCUUAUUUCUGCUCGUAGUCUCGAGCCCUUUCCCACAUGCAGUAUGUACAGGACGACACGACUGGAACUCAACGAGAGAGCGCUCUGCGCUCCUGCCCGUGCCCGACGCCCCGACCGCUCACGUCGGCGCCGCGUUCAACCCGGCAGGAGGUUCCGGGGCGACACACAUGCAGGUAUGAUUGCGCGCGCGAUCUCUGUUUUACUAGUUAGCGUCGCCGGAGUUGGGGCUGCCGCCGGCGUGCGGCGUGAUCUUGAUGACGAGGCCGGGGAAGACGUCGUCGGGGUCGUGGACGUGCGGGUUCCGCUCCAGGAUGUAGGGGUCGCCGCAACUGGCGCUGAUGCUGUGCAGCGUCUCCCCCUCCGCCACCACGUACAGCUCGUCGCACGGCCGCGCGGCCAGCCGCGGCCCGCGCACCACCACCAGCCCGGCUCUGCUGUACUGCUCCGGCUCCUCCUUCCCCGACCCGGCGAGCGAUCCGACAACCAUCACGAGCGCCAGCAGGGCGCACCACGACGCCACGUCCGCCGCCCCCGACCAACGCCGCUGCGCGGCCAUCGUCGCUGGUAGAGUGGUAGGAGAGGAGGACGGAGGAGGGAGGACCAAUGAGAGCUUCAAGUGUAACUGUGUAAGUGUGUGU